AACCGCGGUUAGGCGUCGGGAGGCGGCAUGACGCAAUUAUCGCCAUUGAAGUACACCCUUCGAGGGAAGCCCCAACCUUCGUCAAAUAUUGCUGAAGUUGGGGUGCUGAAUGACUAAGUUCCAGUCUGAAUAGUUCAUUCUGUAGUUGAAGUUUGUAAUGGUGAUCUUGACUCUCCAGUACUCUUUGUAGUUGAGCUUAUUGUGCCAGUGAAUUCGGAUUGGACACAUAUGGCUUGCACAUUGAACCAGAGGUUCAAAGUUCUCACCAGAGUUUGAAACAACGGGUGAUAAGUAAUGUGAAUUUGCCCUGUAAAAUCAACACCAGCUUCCUGUCUGAACCAUGCUGCUUCGGCAGCCGCAGGAACAUUUGGAGCAGGUUGCGAUGCUGUCGUUGUAGAAGGAUGACCAUGAGCAGUGUUUUCGAGGCACAAGGCGCACCGCAAGGCUACAAGCCCUUUGAUCGCCUUGAGGCGAGAGGCGAUACAAAGACGACGCCUGAUUGAAGCGAGACACACCUUAAUAAAUAAGUAAAAAUUAUAUACAUAGUGCAUAAAUUACCUUAAAAAAAUUAAUACCAAAAUAGUAAAUGUCAACAAGAUAAGUUUAGUUCCAAAUAAAGACAAGCAGCAGCGAAGAUUGAUGGUGGUGAAGGCUUGAAGCCCGUGAAGGUGAAUGUCGAUAGGGAGGGGAGGCAGAGAUAGGGUUUGGGUCGCGUAGUGGAGGGUGUUUUACAAAAAAAAAACACAUAAAAAAUUAAAAAAAAAAUAAAUAAGGCAGAUCGCCCCCUUGAAGGAGGCGAUCGCCUUGCCUCAGGCAACAGGCGCGCCAAGGCACCCAAAGGCGAGCGCCUAAUGGAAGGCGCUCGCCUGGGCACCUUGCGAGGCGCACCUGGGUGAAAACGCUUCGCCUCUCGCCUGAGGCAAGUGCCCGGGUGCGCCUCGAAAACAUUGACAAUGAGACACAGCAACUGGGGUUCUUGUGAGCCAUAAAUUGGGAAUAUGUGCACGUAAUAUUCCAUGUCACUGCCAUAGAAGUAAAACAGGUCAGUUUCAAAAUGACCUUAUUCUAACUGUUUGAAUUUAAUCUGAUUAUGGAUUAAGACUUUUAUAUAUUUUCCUAUUCUGCUGAUGCAACAUUAUGUGAUGAUGUUCUGUUAGUAUGGACUUUCGGUACAAACUAAGUCAGUUUAGUUUCUAGGACUCAGAUGGACGUUCAGUUGGAGUACAAGCUACUGACUGCUGAACUAUUGUAGUCUCUAGUCUGUCUUCUGAACCAUUGAAAACAAUGGUUUGAAUGGUUUUCUUUUAUCGUAGUUACGAAUAGGCAUGCUAUUGAGCUUUCUAUAUAGCCUCAGAAAAUAUCAAAUGGAAGGUACUUCCACACACAGAGACCAUCAAACUAUGUUAUAGAUUUGUAGUCACCACUUACUCGAAGCUUGAGUGACCCUUCUCUUAUCUGCUGAAACAAAGGUACUUGGUUCAACAACCGUAGCAGGUCCGCAGGUAUAUCCGGGCUCUGGUGCUUUCAAAAUGAAGUUCUUGGGCAUUUUGACAGUCCUAUUGCUAGCUCCAGAUGAACCAACACUUAGCUGAAAUGAGCUUAGUGCAUUUCCAGGAUCUUGGACCCAAGAGUUAAGUACUCCACCUUUACAGCAGUUCAACCUGUGAGUUGUAAGGAGUUGCUGGGAGAAGAUCAACCACAGUUGGAUCUUUCUUGCAGCAAUGUGGGAUGUUUGAUUUUUAUCUUGAACAAUCUCCUUGCUCUAUGGCUUGGCCUCCCACCAUGCUCCAUAUUACUUCCUUUUUCGCCCACAUCCAUCCCAGCGACCAACCCGGGGCUUGGAUGUGACGAUAUUGCUGGAAAUUGUAGAUUUUCACAAUGGCCUGUUGAUUAAAAAAGGAACAUCAGAUUGGUGUGGAGGAAUCUCAUCUUUUAUGUUCAAAUUCAAUGGUGCCAAGUUAUUUGAUUGGUCAAACUCUUAAACUAAACUUGUGAUCUUGAAAAUUUUAUGUACUUCCCAUAACAUGAAUGGAUUUUCGGAAUGCCAUGGAGCCUUGAAUCUACUCUUUUGAUGUAACUUACCACGUAGCCAUCUGAGGUCCAGGUCAUGACAUCCCACUUGAUAGUGAUGUUUCCAGUUGGAUCAAGAGCAUCAUAGGCUUCUGCAAAAAAGUGAAGAAGAAAAUGCUCAACAAAAGUGCAUUAUAUGUCAUAAAAUAGCACAAGGAAGUUGUUAACCAAAAAGAAUCCUCUCCCUACUUAAAUUUCAGCAUUUCACUGUCUUCUAAUUAAGUUCAGUAAACGAAAACUUUCCUCGACGAAGAACUCGAGCCUGAGAGAGCUUGAUAUUCAACGACUUCAUCAUUACUGAAAUGCUGGAAAUGAAACAUACUCUUCAGAACAAGUAGAGCCCAUCAAGAUUCUGAAGUGAAGAAGACAGAAAAUGAAAAAGUGGAAGAAGAGAGAGCCUGAUAAACCUGUGAAAUUAAAGCUGCUGCAACAAAAUAAAAUCAGUAACCAAAAGCUCUUCUUCAACUUCAUUCUGCUGCAUUUGCUGCCAGGUUGCUCUGUGAUUCCUCUUGGUAUGAACACAAUGUGAUAAGGGGAGACCACGAGAUAGAACACGACAUUUGAUUAUCUCAUAUUAUUAGUUUAAUUACCAUUAAUGGGGAAUAGCAUAUCAUCUGCAUAUAUACAAACUAGUUACUUUAUCAUAUUAUUUACAAUGCAGCCUUUAUUGGACUGUACAGA